rnacentral:rRNA from 1 species
CCGACGGUGAGAGGCGAAAGCUGGGGGAGCAAACCGGAUUAGAUACCCGGGUAGUCCCAGCUGUAAACGAUGCGCGUUAGGUGUGUCAGUGACCACGUGUCACUGAUGUGCCGAAGGGAAACCGUGAAACGCGCCGCCUGGGGAGUACGGUCGCAAGGCUGAAACUUAAAGGAAUUGGCGAGGGAGCACCACAACGGGUGGAGCCUGCGGUUUAAUCGGACUCAACGCCGGAAAUCUCACCGGAUAA